GUAUAAGAGACAGCAGCCGCCGCGGGAAUACGUAGGUGGCAAGCGUUGUCCGGAAUUAUUGGGCGUAAAGGGCUCGCAGGCGGUUUCUUAAGUCUGAUGUGAAAGCCCCCGGCUCAACCGGGGAGGGUCAUUGGAAACUGGGAAACUUGAGUGCAGAAGAGGAGAGUGGAAUUCCACGUGUAGCGGUGAAAUGCGUAGAGAUGUGGAGGAACACCAGUGGCGAAGGCGACUCUCUGGUCUGUAACUGACGCUGAGGAGCGAAAGCGUGGGGAGCGAACAGGAUUAGAUACCCGCGUAGUCCCUGUCUCUUAUAC
rnacentral:rRNA from 1 species